UUCAAUGUCAGCUUUCUUCCUUAUCCUCUUUGCUUCAACACAACUUUCCAAAUCUUUUCUUCAGAGUUUGCAUUUUCAUCUUGCAAUUCUCUCUACCGCUUAAUCGAAUUGUAGAAUUAGAACAAAACUCUUUCCUUUAUCUUUUGAUUUUUUUUCUUUUUCUCGUUGAGUACGAUGCAUAUCUCCACCAGUAAUAUUCUCUAUCAACUUCAUCUUCCUCUGGUUAAUGGAACUUCAAAUACUUCGUCUUCUCGUUACUGGAAGGAUUCAAUAGUCUUGAACUCUCGCCGAAGAUGCUCUCAAAUGGCUACUGUUACCGCCAUUGUUGAUGAACUUCACAAAUUAGAGAGUGAAAGAGAGAAACCGAGGUUUCGGUGGGUCGAGGUUGGAUAUAAUAUUACCGAAACGCAGAAGCAGGCUAUAUCUCAGCUUCCUCCUAAGAUGACUAAAAAAUGUAAGGCUGUGAUGAAGCAAAUUAUAUGUUUUUCACCUCAGAAGGGUGAGUUAUCAGACAUGUUGGCGGCUUGGGUGAGGAUUAUGAAGCCUGAAAGAGCCGACUGGCUUUCAGUUCUUAAGCAUUUGAGGAUUUUGAAUCAUCCUCUCUAUAUCCAGGUGGCAGAAGCUGCUCUUGUAGAGAUAACAUUUGAAGCCAAUACUCGAGACUACACAAAGAUUAUUCAUCAUUAUGGGAAGCAAAACCAACUCGAGGAUGCUGAAAAAGUUCUCUUAACCAUGAGAGAAAGGGGUUUUGCUUGUGAUCAGAUAACAUUAACCACAAUGAUCCACAUAUAUAGCAAGGCUGACAAACUUAAACUAGCCAAACAAACUUUCGAAGAGCUCAAACUACUCGAGCAAUCGUUGGAUAAAAGAUCAUAUGGUGCAAUGAUUAUGGCAUAUGUCAGGGCUGGGUUGCCCGAGGAAGGAGAAAAAAUUCUGAAAGAAAUGGAUGCAAAAGAUAUUUAUGCAGGAAGCGAAGUUUACAAGGCUUUGUUAAGAGCAUACUCCAUGGCAGGCGAUGCUGAAGGAGCCCAAAGAGUAUUCGAUGCAAUUCAAUUGGCUGCUAUUCCUCCUGAUGAAAAGCUAUGCGGUCUUUUGAUGAAUGCCUAUCUGAUGGCCGGUCAAAGCCGAAAGGCACAAAUUGCUUUUGACAACAUGAGGAGGGCAGGCAUUGAACCUAGUGACAAAUGCAUAGCUUUGGCAUUAAGUGCAUAUGAAAAGGAAAACAGGUUAAAUGCAGCGUUGGAACUUCUAAUAGAUUUGGAGAAGGAUAACGUUAUGGUUGGGAAGGAAGCUUCACAAAUAUUAGCAGCUUGGCUUAAACGAUUAGGGGUGGUGGAAGAGAUUGAAAUUGUGUUGAGAGAAUACACUGCAAAAGAAGUGAGCCGCUAAGCAGGAGAAACCAUGAGAUUAGCAGUCCAAUCGGCCAUUAAGAUCGUUUAGGGACGUUUGGAAAUAGCGAGGCACCAAUGCGUUGCAUCGAAGACAGUUGUUUUUGGACAACUUGUUGAUCAAUGCUGACCAUGGAUGGGAAAUUGUUGCUUCCAAUUUGGUACGACUCCAAUGGAGACUGCAAUUUUUCCUGUGAAGCUUGCUCGACAGGAUCAAGAAGUAGAGAAAGAUCUGAUUCAGCCGGAAAUGAAGGGCAAUCUGAUGGAAGGCUUACAAUUGAGGAUAGAGUUGGCUUCUUGACUAGAGCUGGUGGUUGUGCCUGAAGAUGGGGUGCGGGUCUUGGAAGCUCAGAUGUUGCUAGGUACCCUUGCAAAUAUGAGAUCUCUAUUUGCAACCUUGCAGCCUAAAAAAAUUUUUCAUCUUUUCUGAAGAAGCAUUUGGAUUUUCAUAAGCUUGAACUUUUAGCAACCAAAAAUCAGAAGUCAAAUGUUUGUGGAAUUAUUUGUUUUUACCUGUUGUUGAAGGGCAAAAAUAUGAGCAACACAGCCGAGAACUGGCUCUCUGACUCGAGCUUGUGCCUCGUAACAUAUAGUUAUAGCUGCGUCAAGCCGUUUAUGUUCAGGAAUAUGUAGAAGCAUCUUCGACACAUUGCUUGCACCAAACACUUUGUGUACGGCUGCAAAAUGAGUUGUACCUUGUUCUGAGUCAAAGUAGGGUGCAAAUAUACACUCUGGCGUACACUUCCUCCGCAGAAACUUGCACGCCCCACACGGUCCACCACUGCCGUUGCUGCCACCACCCUUGCCUUUUGUGCAACUUCCACUGCUCCGCCUCGAGCUCAUCUCAACCUUUGCUUGCUUGAGUUCUUUCAGGAAAACUUAAGCAAAGAUUACUGAAAGACAAAACAAAUAUAUACACACAUACAUACAUAUAUAUAUGUGUGUGUGUGUGUGUGGAGCUGACUUUGAGGUUUGUGGAUCACAAGGUAUGUAAUUCUUCUUUUCCUUCCAUUUACCUUUAUCUCUCUCUCUCUCUCUCUCUCUCUCUCUCUCUCUCUCUCUUAGUUUGAUGGGAUUUGCAAAUUAGAAGGAAAUGUAGGUUUUGGAAGAUUGAAACAUAGUUUUAUUAUUGUAAUAAUAAUAAUUAUUAAUAUUAUUUUGGAAUAGCAUAGGUCUCUUUUUGUAGUAAUAGUAUGAAAUUCCGCCAAACUGCUUGUGUUUUUAAAGCUGCGUGGAGUGAGGGGUACGAGGACCUCGAAUAAUGUUUUCUUUUUCUUAAAAGCUUAUCAUCGAUAAUUUUGUAAAUUGAGAAAAUAUAGAAAAUGUUAGCCCCUACUUCUAAAUUAAAUUUGUGUCGACAACGAGGUGGGUUAUAGGCAUCAUAGGAUAGGUGUCUUUGGCAAUAAUUGUAUUGUUUAUUAUUAAUACUGGAAUGUAUGUAAAUUAUAAAAAAUAUAAUGUUUAACAAAAUAUUUACGCUUUAUACAAAA